CGCCACUCUGGCUGAACAGUGGAGUCACCUGGGGAACUUCACAAAAUGCAAGUGGUGCCCGGGCUCCACCCCCGUGGCUCUGAGUUCAUUGGUCUGGGCAUCAGGAAUUUUUACAGCUCCCAAUGAUUCUAAUGGACAGCCACCUCUGAGAAGCGUUAGGCAGCCCGAGAAGGGGAAAUCCUGAAGGCAGUGGGGGGAGGUGGCCACCAGCGACUUGCCACCCCCUCCCGAGACAGAGCCAGCGCAGGAGGGUGUGACCAGCAUCAGGGAGGCGGGGAGACACAGUGACAGGACGGUGACAGUUUGGGUGUCCUUUCCGCCCGUGCGCGCGACGGGACGGAGGGGCAGGGGUUUCCUCCUUGGGAACGCUGUCUGUCUGGCAGCCAAGGAAGGCCGCGGCCUCUGGGGAUCCCCGCCCGUAUCGAGCGCCCCUUGCCGAGGGAACCUGGCUCGGCGAGCGGUGCGCGCAGGCUCGGAGGCGUGAGAGCGGGCCGGGCGGCGGCGCGGCCGGGAGCGGGUGACUCACCGGGCGGGGGCGGCUGGGGGCGGCUAGGGGCGGCCGCGGAGCCAACUGCAGCAGCAGCGGGCCCAGCCUGCCCCGCAACAGCCAGCGCGGCUCCUGGAGGGAAACGAGCAAGGCGGCCCCGCAGGUGUGGCGCGGCCCUGGGAGGGCGCGUGCGAGCGCUGCUUUGUUUGGUGCCCGCACAGCCCCGGGCUCCAGGCCUGAGCGCCAACCUUCCCGAGCUGAGUCACGGCUGCAGAGCCCGAGGGCGGCCAUACGGCCCCGCCCGGAAGGAUGAGGCCCCUUCCUGAAGCUGGCGAGUCCGAUGCGGUGGCAGGGACAAAAGCCAGGGGAAGGUGGCUUCUAUUCUACAAAGCCCUUUAGGGAAGGGGGGAGUCAGGCCGCCCUCACCCAGUGCAGGUCCGUCACGAUGGUCACCCAGAGCACUCACGCAGAAAGCCAGCUUGCAGCCGCCAGCCCUGAGGAUGCCGCCCCCAAAGGGCUCAUUGCUCUAAUCACCCGUCCAGGGGCUUGAGGCAAAGCUCCAAGACAGACCUGUAGCAGCAUGGCCCAAAAAGUUCCUCUGCUGCCCCAGUCCCAUACCUGCCUGAGGUACGGGGGUUCAGGCUGAGUCGGCUGACCUGGAGUCAUCUGGAAGCCUUGUCAGAAAUGCAGAUUCUGCAGUGCUGUUCCCAGAGGAUGAGAUUCAGCAGAACUGGGUGUUGGAUAUUAUAUGAAGAGAUUUGCAAGUGUUAUUUUACGUAAUUCGCACUUUACAAAGGAGGAAACUGCAGCGCAGGUACCAAGGUUGCCCCAUCUCGGUCCAGGCCUGCUCCCGGCGAGCCACUCGCCCUUGACCACGCCUCCUCUCUCCUGAUUGGCUGUCAGGCAUGAGUCAUUAAGCUCACUAAGACAAUAAUCAAAGACCUAUAAAACCGUGAACUUCUUGAGACAAUGAGGAUGCCUCUAACAGACUUGGGAAGAAAUCCUGCACAAAGAGCUGGGGAAAAAAGGGAAGAAAAGCACAUAGAAUACUCCUUCAAGGCAGGCAUUGGCAGACCUUCCACCGUGCACCAGGCUCUGUGCUAAGAUUCACCCUGGAGUAACCCUGCCUCUGGGGGUGAAGUUGCUAUAUCUGGCUGCGUUUUGGCCAGCCGACCCUCUAGGCAGCCCUUAAUUCUUGCUUCUCAAACUUACUUCCAAGGACAGAGAAAGAUGACCACUGCCCUCACCCCACUAAAGAAGCCCCAGCACUUAGCAAGCACUUAUGGCCCAGAGCAGACUGUCUCUACUUCAUUUCACUCUCCACACCCAGACUUGGACCACACUUGGAAAAGAACCAGCCAGUCCUGGAGGCUGCAUAUUGUGGAUAGCAGGACUCCACUCACAUCUCAAAGCUCCUCCCUGCCCAUUCCCAUGGUCCCUCCAGCCCUUGGGCAAUACUACCAAUAAGAAGGAGAAAUGAGCUGGAUUUCACUUCCUUUGGAGCAGGUGUGAAUAAACAGAAUUGUCCCAAACUUGGGCAGCAGAAGUGGGGAAAGAAGAAAGGCAACCGGCCAGGCGCGGUGGCUCACGCCUGUAAUCCCAGCAUUUGGGGAGGCCCAGGCGGAUCACCUGAGGUCAGGAGUUUGAGAACAACCUGGCCAACAUGGUGAAACCCAUCU
rnacentral:lncRNA from 1 species